UGGGGAAUAUUGGACAAUGGGCGAAAGCCUGAUCCAGCCAUGCCGCGUGUGUGAAGAAGGUCUUCGGAUUGUAAAGCACUUUAAGUUGGGAGGAAGGGCAUUAACCUAAUACGUUAGUGUUUUGACGUUACCGACAGAAUAAGCACCGGCUAACUCUGUGCCAGCAGCCGCGGUAAUACAGAGGGUGCAAGCGUUAAUCGGAAUUACUGGGCGUAAAGCGCGCGGAGGUGGUUUGUUAAGUUGGAUGUGAAAUCCCCGGGCUCAACCUGGGAACUGCAUUCAAAACUGACUGACUAGAGUAUGGUAGAGGGUGGUGGAAUUUCCUGUGUAGCGGUGAAAUGCGUAGAUAUAGGAAGGAACACCAGUGGCGAAGGCGACCACCUGGACUAAUACUGACACUGAGGUGCGAAAGCGUGGGGAGCAAACA
rnacentral:rRNA from 1 species